rnacentral:rRNA from 1 species
GACGAACGCUGGCGGCGUGCUUAACACAUGCAAGUCGAACGGAAAGGCCCCCUUGUGGGGUACUCGAGUGGCGAACGGGUGAGUAACACGUUAGUAACCUACCCUUGACUUUGGGAUAACUUCAGGAAACUGGGGCUAAUACCGGAUAGGAGCUCCUGCUGCAUGGUGGGGGUUGGAAAGUUUCGGCGGUUGGGGAUGGACUCGCGGCUUAUCAGCUUGUUGGUGGGGUAGUGGCUCACCAAGGCUUUGACGGGUAGCCGGCCUGAGAGGGUGACCGGCCACAUUGGGACUGAGAUACGGCCCAGACUCCUACGGGAGGCAGCAGUGGGGAAUAUUGCACAAUGGGCGGAAGCCUGAUGCAGCAACGCCGCGUGCGGGAUGACGGCCUUCGGGUUGUAAACCGCUUUCGCCUGUGACGAAGCGUGAGUGACGGUAAUGGGUAAAGAAGCACCGGCUAACUACGUG